UCCUCUAAUCAGUUAGUGAACACUUCUCUAAACUAAAGCUGGUAGGAUUCCUCUGGUAGUGUUGUCUGUCCUCUGUGACUUUACCACCACUGUUAAAUCUGAGAUCAACAUGUUUAAUAAAGGAAUAUACAACAUGGAUCACUAUCACUACUGCUGCUGCUGUUGUCUUUCAUAUGGACAAUCUGGAGGAAUACUAGCAACACUGAUCUGAUGCUGGACUGUACCUCCAGACUAGGAGAACCUGAUACACAGAGGAAGGAAAAAUGACUCAUGUCUGGAUUUAAGAUACAAUUCAUAUUUGUAUUAUCUAGCAACAGCUAAUAUGAAGUGUUUGUUCUACCUGGAAGAUGGAAACAGUUCCCCCACCCUCACCGUCCUGCCCCCCUCUAGAGAGGAACUGUCCAGUACAACAACAGCCACACUGACAUGUCUGGCCAACAAGGGCUUCCCCUCAGACUGGACCAUAAGAUGGAAAGUGGACGGGACCAGCCAGAAGCAGGAGGCCAUUCCCAGGGUUCUGGAGAAGGAUGGUCUGUACAGCUGGAGCAGCACCCUGACUCUCACUGGCCAGGAGUGGACCAAGGCAGGAGAGGUGACCUGUGAAGCCCAACAGAUAUCCCAGACGCCGGUCACCAAGACCCUGAGGAAGUCUGACUGUUCUGGGUAGGACCCCUCAGUCACACACCCCUGUGGAGCGAGGCUGCUGAUUCCUCUGCUUUGAUUCUGUUCUGAGAUCAGAUGUUCUCUAUCUUAUUGAUCACUGACAUGUAGACUAACAGAGGGCUUUGCUUGAGUCAUUGUGUCAAUCCUCUCUGUAGACUGAGAUUGUAUCAGUGUUAGAUUUGAUGUGUUCGGUUCUAUUACUUUUAGAUACUGUAGGAAUGAUUGCUUUGAUGCUUUGAUUAAUAGACAAAAAUAAAGACUUCUCGUUGGAACAAA